CGAAAUGCGAUAAUUAAUGUGAAUUGCAGAAUUCAGUGAAUCAUCGAGUCUUUGAACGCACAUUGCGCCCCCUGGUAUUCCGGGGGGCAUGCCUGUCCGAGCGUCAUUGCUGCCCUCAAGCACGGCUUGUGUGUUGGGCUUCCGUCCCUGGCAACGGGGACGGGCCCAAAAGGCAGUGGCGGCACCAUGUCUGGUCCUCGAGCGUAUGGGGCUUUGUCACCCGCUCCCGUAGGUCAAGCUGGCAGCUAGCCUCGCAACCAAUCUUUUUAACCAGGUUGACCUCGGAUCAGGUAGGGAUACCCGCUGAACUUAAGC
rnacentral:misc_RNA from 1 species